GUGCUAGGGAAGACGAUUGCAAUUAUUCGUCUUCAACGAGGAAUUCCUAGUAAAUGCAAGUCAUCAGCUUGCGUUGAUUACGUCCCUGCCCUUUGUACACACCGCCCGUCGCUCCUACCGAUUGAGUGAUCCGGUGAGCUGUCCGGACUGCGAUUAGUUCAGUUUCUGUUCUCUUCGCGGGAAGUUCUGCAAACCUUAUCACUUAGAGGAAGGAGAAGUCGUAACAAGGUUUCCGUAGGUGAACCUGCGGAAGGAUCAUUC
rnacentral:ncRNA from 1 species